CUUCUUCAUAUUUUAUCCCCCAAAUAAAAAUUUUGAUUCCCUCACUACAUGAAUCUAACGAUAUCAUUUAACAAUUCGAGCAAUAUACAUACAUCUUAAUUAUCUAUCUUUAUUUAGAAAGAGAAAGGGAGAAUAGAGAAACAAUGAAUACAACAACGUAAAAAAAAGGACAGUUCAGUGCGCUAAAGCUUCCGCUAUG
rnacentral:lncRNA from 1 species